rnacentral:rRNA from 1 species
AAUCAACGCUGGCGGCGUGCCUAACACAUGCAAGUCGAACGAGAAAGUGGGGGCAACCCUGCGAGUACAGUGGCAGACGGGUGAGUAACACGUGAACAACCUACCCUCGAGUGGGGAAUAACACCGCGAAAGCGGUGCUAAUACCGCAUAACAUCCCUGGAGCGCAUGUUUCGGGGAUCAAAAGCGCAAGUUGCUUGAGGAGGGGUUCGCGCCUGAUUAGCUAGUUGGUGAGGUAACGGCCCACCAAGGCGACGAUCAGUAGCCGGCCUGAGAGGGUGAACGGCCACACUGGGACUGAGACACGGCCCAGACACCUACGGGAGGCUG